GACGAACGCUGGCGGCGUGCCUAAUACAUGCAAGUAGAACGCUGAAGAGAGGAGCUUGCUCUGCUUUGAUGAGUUGCGAACGGGAGAGUAACGCGUAUGUAAUCUGCCUUGUAGCGGGGGAUAACUAUUGGAAACGAUAGCUAAUACCGCAUGACAAUGGGUGACACAUGUGAUGUAUGUGAAAGUGGCAGUUUCUCCACUACAUGAUGGAUCUGCGUUGUAUUAGCUAGUAGGUGAGGUAAUGGCUCACCUAGGCGAGGAUACAUAGCCGAACUGAGAGGGUGAUCGGCCAGCCUGGGACGGAGACACGGCCCAGACUCCUACGGGAGGCAGCAGUAGGGAAUCUUCGGCAAUGGGGGCAACCCUGACCGAGCAACGCCGCGUGAGUGAAGAAGGUUUUCGGAUCGUAAAGCUCUGUUGUAAGUCAAGAACGGGUGUGAGCGUGGAAAGUUCACACUGUGACGGUAGCUUACAAGAAAGAGACGGCUAACUACGUG
rnacentral:rRNA from 1 species